rnacentral:rRNA from 1 species
UACGGAGGGGACUAGCGUUGUUCGGAAUUACUGGGCGUAAAGCGCACGUAGGCGGAUUUGUAAGUCGGGUGUGAAAUCUCGGGGCUUAACUCCGAAACUGCAUUCGAUACUGCCGUGCUUGAGGACUGGAGAGGAGACUGGAAUUUACGGUGUAGCGGUGAAAUGCGUAGAUAUCGUAAGGAAGACCAGUGGCGAAGGCGGGUCUCUGGACAGUUCCUGACGCUGAGGCACGAAGGCCAGGGGAGCAAACGGG